CAAGUUACCUCGAAUAACACUGCAUUUCUCGUUACUGCUCAACCCCUCCUUCAGACACCCUACGGUUUUCUUUACUGUGUUGGAGAGGAACAAUAUUUUAAAGUUUCCGUUCAAAUAAAUGAGAACAACAAAUUCCUUUCAUGACUUUAUCGGUAAUUUUAAGCGCCACAGAACUUAGCUUUUUUUUCCUGAAAGAUAACUGGAAUUAAAGUAAUCAAUCUCUUUAGAGAAAAAAAAGAAGAAGAAAAAAAAAGACAAAGGGGACAGAAGUGUAAAAAAUAAAUGAGGAAAGAGAAAAGAACUCUUAGCAUAUUUUCCUUUCAUGUAUUCUCACCGAAAAAUAACUCAGAGAAAACGAGGAGCUGAGAAGGAGAACGUGCCCCUAUCAGGCUCCUUUGGGACAAGCAUGGUCCCCACUGGGAGGGGGAAUGGGGCCCCUCUGUGUGAGCGCAGUGAUUGCCAUCAUUCUGGGACUCGCUCCUGACCGUCUGCACUCCUGAGGGAAGAACCUUCCAGGGAACAGGGCUCAGCAUGACAGAGGAGACGAAAGUCUCGAAGAAGGCAUGGCCUCUGAGGAUGGCUAUUAAAAUGGCAAAUAGAGACCUGCCAAGGGAACCCAUGCGUGACCAGGAGUCCCGGGCAUGGUGGAAGUGUCACGGUUGGGCUCACACCAACAUCGUCUGGAAGACUAAAUCUUGCUAAUUCUUUGAGAUUGGCAAAAACUCAUACGAUUCACACGUUCUGGAUUAAGAAUGAUAACAAGAUGUAACAUUCCACUUUUUGAUACCAGUGUAGUGACCAAGUUAAACUAGACUUUCAAAAGGAACUCAGCGUCACCGUCCCACAAGGUCCUCCCAGGGGUGGGGAGCCAACGUUUCAUCACCACAUUCCAGGAGAAAUGGACCGGCAGAGCGAGGUGGAGUAAGAUGGCUCUGUCACACCCCACGGCAUUCCUCAGGGUCACAGGCAUCCACUCGGGAUCCACUGCUCUGACUACACACUUUUUCUCUCCCCACGUGCGUAAACUUUACCCCUCCCUUUAUUCGACUCCAGUAAAGCUCAGUGGUUGAAAGAGCAGUUUCGGCACACGCAAUUCGUUCACCAUUCACCGAGCACCUCUCAGCCACAAGGGCCCGUGCUAUGCCCUGGGGAGUAAAAAGCGAUCAAUAAUUGAGGUCGUCCUCCACAGCUCACACUCCAGAAGGGGCACCGACGUUAGACUAGCUGGUCUUAAACUUGCCACCUCUGGGAGCUUUUAAACCAUGCUGACGCUGGGACCCCACACCUGACCAACUGAAUCCAGAUGUCUGCGCUGGAGGGAGGGGGCCUGGGGAGUCACCAGUUUCCAAAGAAGUCUCCAGAGGUGAUUUUGAUUGACGACCAGGGCUUAGAAAUACUGUUUUGGACAAGUAACUAAGCCGUACUAAGUGGUGCCAUUAAGAGUGCCGGGGAGGGAGUGACUAAUGAUAACUGAGAGGGAUGGAGGAAGAUGCGGGGGAAGAUGACCACAGGUGUGACUACAAAGGAUGGGCAGGAUUCUGCAAGGCAAACAACAGGUGAGGUAGAAGAUGCCAGACAAAAGGGAUGAGGGAGGUGACGGUUGCCCACGGGAGGCACAGGAGAGUUUCUGCCACUGAAGAAUUCUAGGACGAAUGCACGAGAAGACGGCACUGACAUAAUUCUGGACCUGUGGAAACAGUGAGCCAGAAGAGGUGUGUACAGAAUGUUCCAGCAGCUUGGAGGAGCGAGGCUGCUCACCUGGGGAGGCCAAGACCCCUGUGCAUUCAAGCGACUGACUGGCCGGGACUGGGCACAGGCCUUCCUGACCCAAUCAGAGGGAAGACUCUAAGAAACGAGGAGACCCUGGAGUUUCCACAGCCAUUUCUGUCUGAACUUGCUGAGAUACUGCUGGCACAGGCCUUGUUGUUGAAAUCUGCCUACGGCCCAGCCGAGCCCCCAAAGAAUUCAGAUGCACGAACAACCCCAGCCAACGCCAGGUGGAACAGAAGAACUGUCCUGCCAAUCACAGAGUCUUCAGAAAUGACAACUCGUUGUUGUUUAAGAUCCCCAGUUUGUGGUGGUUUAUUACACAGAAAUAAGCAACUGAUUCACAGGGUGAGUUGGACUUUCUGCUACUUUCGUAGAGAGUCUUAACUGGUUUGUUUCCAUAGGUUCAAAGUUAAGACACUGUCAGGCACUAACAACAGAAAAUCCAACUCACGAAGGAUAUUUAUUAUCUCUCAUAACAAGAAAUUCCAAGUUAGGGCUGUGGCAGGACUGGCUAAUGGCCCAGUGGUGCCAUCAGGGACCCACACUUUCCCCAUCUUUCCACGCCACCUCCCCCAGUGUGAGGAUGUUCCUCAGGCUACCUCCUGUCAUGGAUACAAAAAGACUGCAAAGCACCAGACAUCAAAUCCAGACACAACAUCCAGCAGGAAACGAGGGGCUUUUCCUCUUUAUGUCCCUUUUUAAGAGUGAGGAAAUGUGUCCCAACAGCAGGAUUCAUUGGCUUGAGCUUGUUUUGAACCAAUCAUGGGAAAGAAGAAUGGAAUUACCAAGAUUAGCUUGCAUGAACCAGUUUACCCCUCACCACGUAGAGAGUGGAACCUGCACCAAGGUGGGUUUCUGCCAGCGAGGACAGAGGGCACAGGCGCUGUCCUGGAGACCAGCAUCUGCUACAAUAUGAACUUAUCAUUUGCCAUUGAACAAAACAGACACUCUUGAAAGACAUGCAGCCUCUAUCCUGGUGGGACCCUUGCUGGCCCCCAUCCCAAUGUGACAGCUUUCAAGGUAGAAGGCUAGUCAAAAUCGGGCUCUCGCAGUCAGGGUCCUGGCAGGAAGCAGAAGGCACUCCUGGGAGGAGAUGUGAAAGCGAUUGUGAUGGAGGGACCAUUUGCUGUAGUGUGGUCAUGGUUCGAUGGCCCAUCAGAGAGUGCUCUUACCCAGGGACCAGCAUUAGCCUGAGGUGGACGCCACAGCCAGGCCUUAAAAGGCCUGGGAGCGGGGACUGUAGCUCCUGGAGCCUGACACGAGUUAAUGCAAUGGACAAGGAAGCCCGACAAGCACUCGUCACAGAGGGACACACAUACUGCCAGGUGCAGGGUGAGGCCAGGACCAAGAGGA
rnacentral:lncRNA from 1 species